AGUUUUUCCCCUCCCAAAAAUUAACUUAGCUCUCUUUUAGGGUUUUCCUUCACUCUCUCUUUCCCUCCACUGCGCCACCAUAAUUUCUUGUAAUUUACUAGGUUCAUUCAUUCUAUUUAAGCAUUUUGUAGUUUGUUGAAAUGGAUUUGCGGAUCCCGUCGACACAGGAACAUGAGAUUGGGAUUUUGAGGGAGAGUUUGGAAGGGGGGAUGUGGUGUUCUACGUAAAGGCAAGAAAUAUCAAUGUCGUUGGUAGUUAGGAGAGAGAUUGUAUCGAUUUGGAAGAGAGAUGAAACUUCGGAGACUUUGAGGCAUGUGUCGGAGUGUGUAACCGAGUAAAUCGUUGCAUGUGUCAGAGUUUAUGCAUGGUUCAAUUGUUUAUUUGAGGUUUUGGUGAGAAUAAGUGGAAGAGUAAUGAGAGGAAUAUAGUGGUUCUCUGUAUUCUUUAGAAGUAUGAAGUUGAAGAAUUUAGGGUUUUUGAUUUGAAGAAGGUUUUGUGAAGUGGGUUUGACGAUGUUUAGGUGAUAAAGCUUGAAGCUUUAUUUUCGCUUCAAUGGUGGUUUUCCUAAACAAAAAUCAACAGAACUCCUCUUCCCUUUCGCUGUGUGCUGUCCAUCUACCUCCGUCAAUGGAAUUGGGAGCAAAUGGACUCGACUCUUGUGCCUCAUUUAUAUUUAUAUGAUUAUGCUAUUUAGAUCCAAAAUCUUUUUUAUGCAUUUUCAGAAUACGCCAAUCUUGAUAAUGUUGGUAUUUUCUUAUCACUUUUAUAUGACAUAUGUAGGUGACAGUUUGUGUGAUGAUUUCUUUAUUGGUUUCUUACAUCGCAGGUGCACUCUCUUGUUGAUGUGUUUCAUUUCAAGAGCAAUAAGUGGGUAGAUAUAUUUGAUACAUUAAAAGAAAUGGCUUAUUCACAUUUGGGAGUUGCAACUGAUGAGAGGCAUGCUCCCGCAAUUCAAUUGUGGAGGGGAAGACUCCAUGUCAUUGGUGGUGGUAAGGAGAAUCACCAUACAGCUGCCUUAGAUCUUGAGUCUAACUGUAAAGGAUGGAAAAGCUUUGGAGAAACAAUGGCGGACUAAAAUUCAUAUUCCACGAGGUGGACCACAUAGUUGGAAGGAACCCCUUAUGUAUAUCCUCUAUCAAACUCGUUUACGAAGACUCCUGUCAAAAGUGCAAUUAAUGGAUUUCAGGCACCAUCAAAUCUGGGAUAUACUACUCAAUAUAGCACUGAUGGAUUCAGGGAUUAUGAUAAAUUAGUGAUUGACUAUCUGUAGAAGCAUUCAAAUACGAGAGUCAUUAUCUGCAGCAACAUUCAAACUCAUCGAUUUGGACUGCAGUAGAGGUUGCCUUGCUAAUUGUGUCUCGUCGUUCUCUUGAAAUUAAAAUGUCUGUUGUGAUAAAAGCUCUUGAUGUGUGCGAACCCGACCUUGGUUAUGCUCCAUUGCCGCUUCAGUGUCUGCUGUGUUCUGUGAGUUGCAUUCCAUAGUGUAGUUUUUGCUCAAUACGAUUUAGAUUUUGUUGAAGUUCUCAAUGAUGAGUAUGUGUUCGCUGUUUCAAAAGUGAUUGUUAUGUAUUUUUUUAGUGGUUGUUCUCCCUUUCACUACUUGAUAUAUUUUACUUGUAAUAAUCAUUGUGUUGCAGUGAAAGAUGAACGAUUUGCACUUUAAAAUUAUGAGAAACAUGUCCUAGAUUUUGCUCUUUCACAUUGUCAGAUAAUUUUAAUUCAGCUCACUAGGAUUCCUUGAAUGUGAUGUGCCCGCAGAUUUAAAAUGAUGUAAUUAUUGUUGGUUUGCUCCUUAUAAUUGAGAGAAACCCGGUGUAAAUUAUGUUCCUUUAACAGUAUAUUGGAUUUGUUCCGUAAAGCCGCUGUGAAGUGGCUCCUUAAAACUGCCUGGAAAUAAUAUCCGACUUAUUAAGUCGGUUUAUAUAUAACAGACCUAAGAAUAUUUUCUUAAGUCAGGUCCAAAUUCGACUUAAGAAGUCAAAACUUCUUAUGUCGGCAACUCUUAGGUCAGGCUUGGAACUGAUUUAAGAAGUCGAUUUUAACCGACUUAACAAGUGUUUUUUCUACUAGUGAGAGAAAAAGGGAUAUGCACUGACAGUGUAAAGUUAUUUUACACUAUCAACCAAUCACAAUCAUGUAUCCAAUUAAAACACAAUUUUAAUUUAAAAAAACUAAUAUGACAUGACAAGUGUAAGGAUUUUGAUUGGUUGUAUGUGUAAAGUUUGUUUACACUGUCAGUGCACUACCUUUAAACUCUAAAUAUAAUUUAUCGGAAUAUAUGGAUUUUUUGGGUUUCAGGUGAUUGGUGAUCUUGUGUGGUGAAAUAAGUUCUAACCAGUAUUUGAGAAUAGUAAGAUAGAACAAUGGUAUAAUCAAAGUGACAUGUUUAGAGUAAUUCUAAACAUGAUGCACAUGUGAUAUCACUUUCAACUUGGGAGUCCUGAGAAUAUGGGAACCUUAGAACCCCUUAAUCCAUCCUGGUACGUACUUUAGGAUGUAGUGUAGUGGCUAUUCUAGAGUAGUUUUGAAAUAGUUGAUACACAAUGUUAUACUUAGACGAAUUUCUUUGGAGAAUAUCAUUGGCCCCCAUGUGAAAGUUUGUAAUAUUCAAAAGAUGAAAUAUAAACU